UACGGAGGGGGCUAGCGUUGUUCGGAAUUACUGGGCGUAAAGCGCACGUAGGCGGUUUUGUAAGUUAGAGGUGAAAGCCCGGAGCUCAACUUCGGAAUUGCCUUUAAGACUGCAUCACUUGAACGGCGGAGAGGUGAGUGGAAUUCCGAGUGUAGAGGUGAAAUUCGUAGAUAUUCGGAAGAACACCAGUGGCGAAGGCGGCUCACUGGACGCCUGUUGACGCUGAGGUGCGAAAGCGUGGGGAGCAAACAGG
rnacentral:rRNA from 1 species